GCCCCCAUGAUUCAACCACCUUCCCCUAGGUCCCUCCCACAACACAUAGGAAUUGUGGGAGAUAUAAUUCAAGUUAAGAUUUGGGUGGGGACACAGCCAAACCAUAUCAUGGAGAAACAACCCGUAGAUCACAGAGUGGUAGCCCCUAAGCCAGAGGAGACUUCCUUCCAACUGCAAAGGCUGAGCCAAGGGAAUUGCUGCUCUGAGGCAGGUGGAAAGGGAGCUGAAGCCUGCCUCUUGAAGUAUUGAGUGACUCAUGUUGGAGCUGGGAAAUCCCCCACUAUGCACCCACCUCAAGGUGAAUAGAAAGUGGAGGAGAGGAUGGUGGCUUUAGAUGUUUAGACAUUCUUUGCCCCAUACACAAAAAAGCUUGGCAACCACGCCCUCUCGAGGCAACUAGUGGCCACUUUGUGAAGUAAGAGGGGGAAGGGAGAAAGAGAGACUGAAGAGAGAUUGAGCAUUUUAUCUAAAGAGCUGAGCAUUUACAGUCCAAAAUGAAUAAUGUAAUGAAUGCAAUAGACAAAGUUUACCAACAGAAUUAAAAUCCAGGGACACCUACCUCCCUCAUGAGAGAGGUAAGAAAGUUACGUUUACUUUUUCACCUGGGCUGAGUAUGAAGUUUGAACUCAAACUCUGCCACACAGCAUAAGGUGAUGAAACGCUGAACUAGAAUGAGGGCUACAGAAAUGGAAAGUCAGCCAGCACUGCCUCCUCUGCUCAAUCAAUUUAUUCAAAGUCUAGUAAAGACAAAAAGUUUAGUGAAUAAAUGGGGGUAAGGAAGCUAGGUGCUUCCUCAUAGCUUUGGAAACUGCCAGGGCACAUGGGUGACAAAAAGAACUGUGUAUAUUAUCUCCAGAACAUGAACAGAAUUUUAAAGAAGCAUAAAAUCCCUUUUUUUAAAAAAAAUUUCCCGUAAGGAUCCUUGACAGAAGAACUUAGCAAAGAACUUAGGAGGCGCCUUUAGCCACUGCAGAAACACAGAGGAACUAUCAAAGAAAAAGUAUCAAAAACAAGCCUUGAAGGAAUUACCAAGAGCAAAGUCCAUCAUUCAAUGUGGAAUUUGAUGGGAACAUAGGAAGUACCUCCUCUAAUUUUGCAUAGGAAGAAAAAAAGAUUAUUGUACUUCAAAGAUCUUAGUUUUAUAAAAAAAAAUGUAGUGGUAUUCUUUUUCAUAAAGCAUAGGUUUAGAAAGAAGUUCCCUAACUUUUCUUGAACUUUGGGUUUCAGAUAUAUUCAUAUUUUCCACCAGAUCUGGGGAAAUUAAGAGUCUGAAAAAUAAGCAAUCUGCCUUUGCCCCUUUAAAAAGCAAUAAAAAUGCUCUAAAAAGAGAAGUAAAACCAUGGAGACCCUACCAAAUACAUGGCCCUAAACCACUGCCCCCUAACAGUUCUCCAGGUGGUGCUGGCUCAAAUGAAAUCUAUCCAAGAACUGACGCUGACAGCAGGCUCCCAUUUCUCAUUUACCAAUAGGGCUGGAUGGUACCCCGCUCUUGUUUCCCAGCUUACUUGGCAAUUUUAAAUCAGAUUGUUAGUAUGUCAGAUGACACAGUGGCUUGCUUAAUACCACUGAUCAAUUCUUGUCUGAGGACCCCAUCUGACAAAAUGUUCAACUCUAUUAAAGUUAUCCUCCCAGAGAGCUUAGAGCUAGGUAUCAAACUUAACUGAUAAAAGCUGUUCUGUGAUGAAGUGUCUUUCAAGGGGACUGCCAUCCCCUAAAAUGCUACUCUUUCCUCAACUGUUCCUUGCUUAGUAUUUGGGGUGUGUGUGUGUGUGUGUGUGUGUGUGUGUGUGCAUGCACACACGCGUUAAGAAUACUUUAAAAUAUGUGUUCCUUUGUGGUUUUUGUCGAGACAUGUUAAGCCAGAAAACUGGAUUGGAAAUAACGUCUUACAAUUACCACCAUUUACAUGCUUGAAGCACAAUCUCCCAAAGAUUUCCCAAUCUCCUGGCUCCUAAUUACCCUGUGGGAACCUGGUACUUUUCAUCUGAUGAUGCAUGUGAUGCUACCAUCACACUGUAUCAUUUAAACAUUUAUUUUCACUUUCACUAUCUUGGUAACUUGAACCAUUACAAAAUGGCUGAUCAAUGGUUUUGAUGAUUCCAAAGAAGCUGGUUUUGGAAACAUUGGCCGGACCUUUCCAGUCAUCAGAUUAAACAACAGCCUUUGGGUUUCAAAUCAUCGCUCUGUAGGAUGCAUCUACCUUUCCCAAAUCUCCCUCCCUCCCUUCUUUCAUUUUUUUUUUAGCUUCUUCUUAUCCCAAAGCACAAUAUUCCAUCUGGCCUUUUUUCUACAUUUAUAAAAGUUGGUAAAGUUGACACCUCUAAUUAAAAGCAGCUUUUAAAUGUCAAGUUCUGAGGCAGGAGAGUGAUAAAAGAAGCCACAAAGGAGAUAGGGAUCAAUAGUAACCUUAUUACAAAUCAUCUCUGGCUUGGUCCAAACCAGCAGACUCCAUUAAUUAUAAAGUGUGAUUUGUCUCUUCACUGAAUUAAGCAGUAACAAGAAAAAGUAUGCGAAACCAUACCAACAACAUAACACAGAAUUUUCCUGAUGCUGCAUGUCAACUGCCAACAUUUCUGUGUAAGGAAAAAAACCUUCAUUUCACAUAUUUUAUUUAAAGAACCUUGUUAUAUUUAAGAAAUAUUUAAAGUCAUGUGUUAGAACAGACUACUCAGCAAGUUAUAUAAAAACACUCACAGAGAGCAAAUAAUGUCCUCCCAGACAAAAUAGCUUCCUCCUCCCUUUAAAAAAUACUAUUCUCUACUAGGCAAAUGGAUUCCUCAGAGUGUGCUUUCUUAAUUAAACCUGAAGAAAAUUAAAAUCAAGACUUUUGUGAAGGAAAAGGGGUAAAAAAAAAAAAAAAAACUGAAACAAGUUAAUUUCAAAUGGACAGUAAAGACAAAGGAACUGUAAUGAUAAGAAUGAAUUCAUGUAUAAUCUCUGAAUAGGUGGGGGCUGCCCAAGAGUCCAUUGCUGUGUAUAUGAACUAACAUACUGCCUGUAAGAGAGAGAUGGGCUUCAUUUUCUUUUUUUCCUCUUCUCUCUUUUUUCCUCUCUGUGAGUUCAAUUAAUUACAAUGACUAAAGCAAAUUCCAUUACAGGAAAACUGCAGCGAAAUUAACAAAAACUUUAGGAAAGAACUUUCGUUUUAUGUAAUACGUCACAAAAUAUUUAAAUUUCCAAUGUUUUCUCUCUACAGAGAAAGAAUGUUGACUCCUUGGUCUCUAUAUGUUAGUACAGAUCUCAUAACAAUUUUAAACAUUCAAGUUUAAAACAGGUGGUAAAUCUCCAUCUAAUAAAGAUAGCUAGAGAGCAGAAUUGUCACUCUCAACAUUAAAAGGAUAGUAAAAGUCACUUCAGUUUAAAAAGAUGAUGAAUUAGAUCACCUAUAUUGAUGGGGGAGGGGAGAUGUACCAAAAUCCCAGUUCAUAGCCAUUCUUAAGAAGACUGUGUAUUAUGAAGGGUAUCCAGAUAGUCACCAGAAUCUCUUAAACUCAGGUUACAUACUCAUUUUCUCUUCCCAGCCCUUGAUUACACGAGCGAACAAGCUCAAUCUUGAUUUGAUUGUAAAUAGUGGGUGUAUUCAAGUUCAUGUAUAUAUACUUUAAGUAAAAUAUUUAAAUUUUUCUUUUCUGAAAUUAUAAACAAUGUGUUCAAACAUUUAUAAUCAAAUUUCUUUGAGUGGAGUUUGAUCUAUUUAUUACAGCUUUAUUUUAAGCUCAUGAAAUCUGCCUUUUCAUAUAUGUUUAGUAAUGCAAUAUGAAGAAUUUUCUACCUUUAUGGGGCACAAGAACCAAAAAUAAGGUGCUUGUGACUUCAAGAGCCCCACAUGAAUAACUGUAGAUUAUUAUUAUUGAAGUUACUUGGGCUUUAUUGCUAUAUUGAUCAUUCAUCUACACACUCUACACAGUUAAUUUUUCUGAUCUGGUUUGCAGAAAUAAAUUGGACAGAGAUAUCACUUGAGUGCCAAUCCUAGUUCUGCUAUUAAUUUGAUGUGCCACAGGGUUUCCAUUUUCUCAUAUGCAAAAUGAAGGUGCUCAACAGGUGGUCUCUGAAUUCUGUUUCACUCCAAGCCUCCCUGAGACCAUAAUGCCUAAUUCUGAGCAUAACCCUUUGCUCAGAAAUGUACAAGGACUCCCUAUUAUCUGUUACAGUCCAAACCUGGCUUUCCCAGAAUAUGUGCUUGAGCAUGUUUCACCUGUUAGCAUAUUUCACCCUGUGAACUCAUCUUGCAAUAGCCUCCUCUUUAGCAGUUGAAUUCCAACUCAUUCUUAUAGGUCUAGUUCAAGGCUGAUGUUUCACUGAAGUCUUCCCAAUCACUGAACCUGAAACUAACCAUUCUCUCCUUUGAAGAUCCAAAUAAUUCAUUUAUGUAUUUUAAAAUGUCUAUCUACUAUCUAUUGUCUAUCAUUUUACUAGUUAUCUAUACACAUACUGCAUCUCUUCAACUAAAUUAUAAGCUCCUCAAGGGCGAAAAUUCUUUAUAUUACCUCAUGUUACCUAGAAUAGUCAGCCACUGGUACACAAUAGGCACUCAAUAAAUACUUGCUGUUGAUGAGUGAGCAGUGCCUUGCACAUGGUAAGAGCUUACAAAUAGGUGUUGAAUUCAUCACCAAAAAUGCAGUAACUUAUUUUAUAUCUGUUUUAUUGAAAUAAACUAAUUAAAUUUCUACUAUAUGCCACUUAAAACAACCAAACAUGACAUCUUUAAAGUAAAUCAAUUAUUUGAGUAUGAAAAGUUCAACCCUCUGACUUUAUGGUCAUGAUGUAUAAUAAUGUACACUGUCCAAUACCAUACGAUAAAUAUGGGGUUGUGGGCAAAAGCCCAACCACAUGGCUUAAUAACGGAGCCUAGCUCUCAUCUGUUGAAAAAAAGUAAAUAGGUAU